rnacentral:rRNA from 1 species
GACGAACGCUGGCGGCGUGCUUAACACAUGCAAGUCGAACGGAAAGGCCUCUUUCGGGGGGUACUCGAGUGGCGAACGGGUGAGUAACACGUGAGUAACCUGCCCUUGACUUUGGGAUAACUUCAGGAAACUGGGGCUAAUACCGGAUAGGAGCUCCUGCUGCAUGGUGGGGGUUGGAAGGUUUCGGGGGUUGGGGAUGGACUCGCGGCUUAUCAGCUUGUUGGUGGGGGAGUGGCUUACCAAGGCUUUGUCGGGUAGCCGGCCUGCGAGGGUGACCGGCCAAAAUGGGGCUGAGGAACGGCCCAGACUCCUACGGGGGGCAGCCGUGGGGGAUAUUGGACAAUGGGUGGGAGCCUGAUGCAGCCACGCCGUGGGCGGGAUGACGGCCUUCGGGUUGUAAACCGCUUUCGCUCAUGAAGGAGCUUUGUGUGACGGUAGUGGGUAAAGAAGCACCGGCUAACUACGUG